CCUACGGGUGGCAGCAGUGAGGAAUAUUGGUCAAUGGACGAGAGUCUGAACCAGCCAAGCAGCGUGAAGGAUGACUGCCCUAUGGGUUGUAAACUUCUUUUAUAUGGGAAUAAAAUGUUCCACGUGUGGGAUUAUGUAUGUACCAUAUGAAUAAGGAUCGGCUAACUCCGUGCCAGCAGCCGCGGUAAUACGGCGGAUCCGAGCGUUAUCCGGAUUUCGUGGGUGUAAAGGGAGCGUAGGUGGUUUGUUAAGUCAGUUGUGAAAGUUUGCGGCUCAACCGUAAAAUUGCAGUUGAAACUGGGAGUCUAGAGUACAGUAGAGGUAGGCGGAAUUCGUGGUGUAGCGGUGAAAUGCUUAGAUAUCACGAGGAACUCCGGUUGCGAAGGCAGCUCACUGGACUGCAACUGACGCUGAGGCUCGAAAGUGUGGGGAUCAAACAGGAUUAGAUACCCGGGUAGUC
rnacentral:rRNA from 1 species